GGUUUAAUUCGAAGCAACGCGAAGAACCUUACCAAAUCUUGACAUCCCUCUGACCGGCGGAGUAAUGUCGCCUUUCCUUCGGGACAGAGGAGACAGGUGGUGCAUGGUUGUCGUCAGCUCGUGUCGUGAGAUGUUGGGUUAAGUCCCGCAACGAGCGCAACCCUUAUCCUAAGUAGCCAGCAGUUCGGCUGGGCACUCUUGGGAGACUGCAGGGAUAACCUGGA
rnacentral:rRNA from 1 species